UCAAUGAAUGUUUAAUUUGAACGGCGUCCCGAGUCAGAAAAUACAAACAAUUCAAUUAGCACUGUAACUCUGCUUAAACUUGAUUUUUACUUAUUGUAAUUAUAAUACACUUAUUUAUUCUCAUUAAUAAUAUGUGUUGCAUCCGCAAAUAAAUUACACCCAUUUACUUUCAUGAAUUUAAAAUAGUGGGUUCAAUUGUACUCUUUACAUCUGCGUGCUUUUUGAAUUGCUCAAUGGGCUUAAAAUAAUAAAGCUACAGUUCAAUUGGGCUUUAAAGCGCAAGAAUAAAUACAAUACAACCACAACUUCAUUCGUUUAUUGGCCUUGUAGUACCUUUUCUGUUUUAUAAAAAAAAUAAAUUUAAGAUUGAACGUGAAUUUUGUAUACCAAAUUUUAUUUAAAUAGACAAUUACAAG